CUCCCAUUCUUCAUCUCUGCCUAUUAGCUUCCCAGCUUCCUACAAGUCCCAGAUAAAAUAUCAUUUCCUAUAGGAAACCUUUCCCAACUCCUCUCAAACCCCUACUCAUUCGAAUGAUGAAACCAGUCCAGGAAUGUUCCCAAAGUCACAGAGAUGGCAUUAUGACAGUAUAUCUUCCCCAUUCUGAAAGAAAAGCUGGACUUUGAAUGAAAAAUAAAAAUGGAAACCCAGAAAAGAAGAAGGCCAGAUUGGAAAUCAGACAACAUAGGUCCAAUUCUCAGGGUUGUUGUGAUAGAAGAACUUCAUAAUAUCAAAAGCUAUAGAUAAACUUUCCCCAUAGGUUCUCAUCUAAACCAAAGCUCUGAAGUUCAUAUUUCCAUAAACAAAGAGGGAGUUUCUCAAUCUCUAUUUCAUUUCCUUGGGUUGAAUGACUUACAUUUCAUUAAUGCACCUGAGAUAAUUGGAAAGAAGCAUCCACAAUAAGUAUCUAAAUCAAAAUAAAUUUUGUGAUUGUAGAAAAGCAUCUUUGAUUCCACUUGUAAUUCCAAAGUUACUGUUUCAGAAGAACCUCUGUAGUUGAAGUUCUUGAAGUUUAGUCAUUAACUAAAAAUAACCAGUAUGCAAGCACUUUAAUUAGAUUUUAAUUAUUAAAGUAUGGAAUGGAUGUUGAUUGAAGUCAUAACUACUUUGGACACAAUUUCCUGCCUACAGCUAAAUGGAUGCCUGAGAGGUUGAGAAUGAGAAAGAGAGCCAACACCAUGUACUAGACCAUGAUGGUAUCUUAGCCACCAGCUCAAGGGAUUGGGAUUUGAUAACAGCAACGGGAGGGAGCCACCAUCCUUAGUGGAUUGUGUUCAGGCUUGCCUCUGUGUAUGUGAUCUCAAGUCAGGAUUUUCUACACAGUGCAGUAAGUCAGCAUUAAAAAUCUACAAAGAAUGACAAUAACUAAUGCACAGAUAAUUCCUGUCUGCAUACACUACCCAGGCAGUAGCCAGUGCCUAAUGAACCCUGAGUGAAUGCCCUACUUGAAUUCUCUAUACAAACGAGCAAUUCUGAAAGAUUUUCUCCUUUUUUAUGAAAUAAAAAUUUCAAUACAAGGAGAAGUGAGAGUAAAUGUUCAUGUUGGAUUUAGAGAGCAUUUAUUUCCUUUCAACAUUUGUCUUCUCUCUCCUACAGAAUGUUCCCUUUGGAAUUAAUGGCAUUCUACCAUCAAAAAAAAAAAAAGACAUCCAGUGCAAAAGAAUAUAGUUCAAUUAAGAUGGUGAACAAUAAUGAUCUGGGGAAGAAAUGCUGUUUGAAUUGAAAUUUUCCAUAUUUAUCCCUUUGCCCAAAAUCCAAAGAGAAAAGAUAGAUUCAGUAUAUAAUUUUCUUCUCUUUUCAUUUUUUAUACUAAAUCUGCAAUCACAUUGGAAUAGGGAGCUCAGUGAAAAAAACAUUCUACUGUUGAAAAACUGAAUUUGUUAUGAGAUUUACAGUUUAAGAGAUUGCCAUGGACAUCAAGCAAAUGUUAGUGAAUUACAUCAAGUGACAUAGACAGUGUAUGUUAGAAGUAGAAUUUGCACCCAGAUCUUCUUGGCAUUAAUGACCAGUUCCCCAUCUUCUAUACCAGGUAGCAUAGUA